CAGCGCCACGAGUGGCAACCGCGAUUAUUGGGCCUAAAGCGUCCGUAGCCGGUUUGGUAAAUCUUUUGUGAAAUUGUACAGCUCAACUGUACAGCGUGCAAGAGACACUGCCAAACUCGAGACCGGGAGGAGUCAGAAGUAUUCCAGGGGGAGCGGUAAAAUGUUAUAAUCCCUGGAGGACUACCUGUGGCGAAGGCGUCUGACCAGAACGGAUCUGACGGUGAGGGACGAAAGCCAGGGGAGCGAACCGGAUUAGAUACCCGAGUAGUCC
rnacentral:rRNA from 1 species